ensembl:lncRNA
AUUCACCCAGUUCAAUGUAACAGUGAUAGGUUUAGGUUACUGUCAUUCAUAUUCACCCAGUUCAAUGUAACAGUGAUAGGUUUAGGUUACUGUCAUUCAUAUUCACCCAGUUCAAUGUAACAGUGACAGGUUUACAUAAUUUUCCCCUAUACCCAUCAUGAGGUUGCUACAACCUAGCGUACGAAUGAAAAGUUUAUUAUGAAGGAGCACACUGGUCGAGAGACACAUUGGACAAAUGAAGGAGAUAGUGACACGUACAAUAUCGCCUUGAAAAGUCUUGUCUGCAUCUAGCUGUUCUAGGGUGUGAUCAUUAGUCAACUCUUGUCUGCAUCUAGCUGUUCUGGGGGUGUGAUCAUUAGUCAACUCUUGCCUGCAUCUAGCUGUUCUGGGGGUGUGAUCAUUAGUCCAGACUCUUGCCUGCAUCUAGCUGUUCUAGGGUGUGAUCAUUAGUCCAGACUCUUGCCUGCAUCUAGCUGUUCUAGGGGUUUGAUAAUUUGUCCAGACUCUUGCCUGCAUCUAGCUGUUCUAGGGGUGUGAUCAUUAUUCCAGACUCUUGCCUGCAUCUAGCUGUUCUAGGGUGUGAUCAUUAUUCCAGACUCUUGCCUGCAUCUAGCUGUUCUAGGGUGUGAUCAUUAGUCAACUCUUGUCUGCAUCUAGCUGUUCUAGGGUGUGAUCAUUAGUCCAGACUCUUGCCUGCAUAUUGCUGUUCUAGGGUGUGAUCAUUAGUCCAGACUCUUGUCUGCAUCUAGCUGUUCUAGGGUGUGAUCAUUAUUCCAGACUCUUGCCUGCAUCUAGCUGUUCUAGGGGUGUGAUCAUUAUUCCAGACUCUUGCCUGCAUCUAGCUGUUCUAGGGUGUGAUCAUAAUGUCCAAACACAUGCAAACAAGAGUUUCAAAUAACCAUAACCGCUGCACACAGUCAACAUCAUUAUCAAUGUCACCAUAUUGGCUAACAUCAUAGUUAAUAUCGCUCCCUAGAACUAAUGAGUUAGUAUAAUAAUACAAGGAAUAUAGCUCUCUGCAGAUUCUCAAGUGGAAUAAAUUAAUUUGUUCAUAACUAUUCAACUAAUGUCUCUCUCUCUUUGAGUCAACCACAUUUUAAUGCAUUGCAGUGCUAGCUAGCUGGAGUUUAUUGCAUUCAGUACUAGAUUCAUUCUCUGAUCCUUUGAUUAGGUGGACAACAUGUCAGUUCCGUGACGCUACCUUACAGAGUGCUGUUGAGGCUACUGUAGACCUUCGUUGCAAAACAUUUUUAAUCGGGUUAUUUGGUGACGUGAAUAUAUUUACUAUCGUUUUUUUUCUGAACUAAAAAAAAAAAAAACGUGUUUCAUUAUUUUCAAUUUUUCUGAAAUUCACUGAGUAGGAUGGUCUUAGGAGCUACUCUACUGGUUUACACACCUACUCAGGCGCUUGUGGUUGGAGCAGGUCUGAAUUUGUCUUUAGAGUCAUUAACCUGUUUGUGUGUGUGUGUGCCAGUUUAGGAUGUGUUGGUUCUGAAUGGUGUGUUAUUUAGAGAACUGGUUGUGUGUGUGUGUGUGUUAUUUAGAGAACUGGUGUGUGUGUGUGUGUGUGUGUUAUUUAGAGAACUGGUUGUGUGUGUGUUAUUUAGAGAACUGGCUGUGUGUGUGUGUGUGUGUGUUAUUUAGAGAACUGGCUGUGUGUGUGUGUGUGUGUGUUAUUUAGAGAACUGGCUGUGUGUGUGUGUGUGUUAUUUAGAGAACUGGCUGUGUGUGUGUGUGUGUUAUUUAGAGAACUGGUUGUGUGUGUGUGUGUGUUUAGAGAACUGGCUGUGUGUGUGUGUGUGUUAUUUAGAGAACUGGCUGUGUGUGUGUGUGUGUUAUUUAGAGAACUGGC